rnacentral:rRNA from 1 species
GACGAACGCUGGCGGCGUGCUUAACACAUGCAAGUCGAACGGUGAAGCGCCUUCCUUUUUGGUGGGUGUGGAUGAGUGGCGAACGGGUGAGUAACACGUGAGUAACCUGCCCCCUUCUUCUGGAUAACCGCAUGAAAGUGUGGCUAAUACGGGAUAUUCUGGGUCUGUCGCAUGAUGGGUCUGGGAAAGAUAUUGUUUCGGUGGGGGAUGGGCUCGCGGCCUAUCAGCUUGUUGGUGGGGUGAUGGCCUACCAAGGCGGUGACGGGUAGCCGGCCUGAGAGGGUGGACGGUCACACUGGGACUGAGACACGGCCCAGACUCCUACGGGAGGCAGCAGUGGGGAAUAGUGCACAAUGGGCGCAAGCGUGAUGCAGCGACGCCGCGUGAGGGAUGGAGGCCUUCGGGUUGUGAACCUCUUUCGCCAGUGAAGCAGGCCUGCCUCGUUUGUGGGUGGGUUGACGGUAGCUGGAUAAGAAGCGCCGGCUAACUACGUG